GACGAACGCUGGCGGCGUGCUUAACACAUGCAAGUCGAACGGAAAGGCCCUGCUUUUGUUGGGUGCUCGAGUGGCGAACGGGUGAGUAACACGUGAGUAACCUGCCCUUGACUUUGGGAUAACUUCAGGAAACUGGGGCUAAUACCGGAUAGGAGCUCCGGCUGCAUGGUGGGGGUUGGAAAGUUUCGGCGGUUGGGGAUGGACUCGCGGCUUAUCAGCUUGUUGGUGGGGUAGUGGCUUACCAAGGCUUUGAGGGGUAGCCGGCCUGAGAGGGUGACCGGCCACAUGGGGACUGAGAUACGGCCCAGACUCCUCCGGGAGGCAGAAGUGGGGAAUAUUGCACAAUGGGCGGAAGCCUGAUGCAGCAACGCCGCGUGCGGGAUGAGGGCCUUCGGGUUGUAACCCGCUUCCGCCUGUGACGAAGCGUGAGUGACGGUAAUGGGUAAAGAAGCACCGGCUAACUACGUG
rnacentral:rRNA from 1 species